GCUCCCUUACUUACCAACCUCUUCCCCUCCCCCCCACAUCCGGUGUUCCCGAACUGGGAUCCCCGGGUAGCCCCCUAAAAGCGACUGUUUCGGACCCUCGGAAGGGGAACUGACUAGGUUGCUUUCUUCCCGGAAUCAGUUUCUUUAGUUAGCUGACCCUCCCUUCCUAGAUCAGAACAAGUGCCUGGACCCGAGUUUACCUACUCUCCUUCUUCUUUAGGGUCCCACUACUUUGGAGAUUUUCGCAUAUUCCACAUACAUAGUCGAAUUCUGGUGUCCUAUUCCAUACCCCAUUCUAGUUACUCUCCCGCCCAAGCCCUCAUCAUCGAAGUCAAGAGCUACAGGGACUCUUCGUUCUUGUAGGAUUGGUGAGACCGUAAGAAGAACACCCCUUAGACGCCCAUAAUCGGUGCGGAUCCCCAUGGGGAAGGCUCGUUUUGUUGACAUCUACCAGGCUUUGGUUCUGAACCCAGAGAAGGCGGCUGUGGAGCUAGGGAAUAGCCAUGCUUUUGUAGGGUAAACGUGUUGGUAUUGAGGGGAGGGGAGAGGGAAUCCACGGAAAAGGAAUGGAAGUGGUUUAAAGCUCAUUUUAGUUUGGCUACUCAUAGAAUGUCAGCUUAUGAGUUAUUUACAGGUUGUAAUGUUGCUUCGGGCUAAAAAUAUGAACUCUUGGUAGAAACCGUAAAUGAA
rnacentral:lncRNA from 1 species